rnacentral:lncRNA from 1 species
UCUCACGGCUCCUGGGAUCGAAGGGACGGCCGGAGCGCUCGUCCCCUUCUACUCCGACGGCCAAGCCACCGGGAUCCCGCGUCAAGUUCUACUCCGGCGGCCGGAUCACCUCGGGUUUGUGGAACACCGGAUCUGUCCAGCUCGAGGUCCUUGUCCAUGGAUCUUGCCAGGAAAAACGAUUUUCUCCAUUGUUUCUGUCGGUGAGGCUAGAUCACACGUUAUGUGCUUAUGCUUUUCUCCUAGCUGGUGUUCAUCUGUUCUAGAUUUGCAUGUUUUUUAUGAUUUUUAUUGUGUUCCUUCUAUUCCUUUGGUACGGCUGAUUUGGCUGUAUGGUUCGAUCGAGAUUUAUAUGAUUUACAGUUCGGGAGAACUAUGUUUGUUCCAUUCUUGUGUCAAUUUGUUUCCAAACCAUGUGCAUCUCAUUUUGCAGGGAGAGGAAAUCCUCUCUUUGACUUGCUCUAUGUAGUUGCUGGCAAUGAUUUUCAGAUUUGGCGCUUGGUAGCUAAAAUACAGGGUAUAAUUUUGGUGUGGAUAUGUUGAUUUCAGUAGGGAACAUUUUCUGAGGGUGUUCAAGUAUAAUUGUUGGAAGUGUCACUGGAUUAUAGUACUGUCGCUGGAUUUUUGCUUGGAUUUAGUUGUUGGAAUAAUGCACGCCCAUGGAUAAAUUAGUGUGUUGUGGAUUAUAUUAAAUUCAGUAGGGAUUCCCUGGUCUGAGAGGGUGUUUGGAUCACUAGAGACUAGAGACUAGUG